CUUCUACCCGGGGGCUCCAGUGCAUCUGGCUUUAUCUCUGGGGUGCUUCCAUACAAAGGGGACAGAAGAGAUGAUGGAAGGCCUCAGUACUGCAGGAGGGGAGACGGAUGUCAUCCACAAUCACACAAUACAUGGGAGGUCACAGAACGCCAGGGUGACGUAACAAUUCAAACCAUGAAGAGGUAACAGAGCCCUUCGCGCGUCUCAACACGUGGUGACGCAGCUAAUAACCUGUGAUGCAUACAUGGGAACAAAUGCAUAGAAAAACUUGUCAAUGACACGGCAAAGUAAAACCCAAAUGAAGCGAGGUGAAAGAAUGGGCUGCAGCGCAGGCAAAACUGCACCACGUUACAGACUGCUCGCCUGGGAUGGAACGGUGGGGAGGUGCGCAGACGGAUGGACAAGCGCCUGGCAAAAUGGAUUUCUUUUCCUAGACUGCUAAUGCUACUAACAGUUCCCUCCUCACAGGGUCGCUAUAACGAGGUAACAUACAGCACUUAGAAGACGGCCUGACCCAGAAUAACACUAAUGUUCACAUGGCUGCGAGUCUCAGACCAAAAUCAAUAGCCGGUAUCUACUGAAACUGCAGCAAGGCG
rnacentral:sRNA from 1 species